GACGAACGCUGGCGGCGUGCUUAACACAUGCAAGUCGAACGGAAAGGCCCUGCUCUUGUGGGGUGCUCGAGUGGCGAACGGGUGAGUAACACGUGAGUAACCUGCCCUUGACUUUGGGAUAACUUCAGGAAACUGGGGCUAAUACCCGAUAGGAGCUCCUGCUGCAUGGUGGGGGUUGGAAAGUUUCGGCGGUUGGGGAUGGACUCGCGGCUUAUCCGCUUGUUGGUGGGGUAGUGGCUUACCAAGGCUUUGACGGGUAGCCGGCCUGAGAGGGUGACCGGCGACAUGGGGACUGAGAUACGGCGCAGACUCCUACGGGAGGCAGCAGUGGGGAAUAUUGCACAAUGGGCGGAAGCCUGAUGCAGCAACGCCGCGUGCGGGAUGACGGCCUUCGGGGUGUAAACCGCUUUCGCCUGUGACGAAGCGUGAGUGACGGUAAUGGGUAAAGAAGCACCGGCUAACUACGUG
rnacentral:rRNA from 1 species